rnacentral:rRNA from 1 species
UGAACGCUAGCUACAGGCUUAACACAUGCAAGUCGAGGGGCAGCAUGAACUUAGCUUGCUAAGUUUGAUGGCGACCGGCGCACGGGUGAGUAACACGUAUCCAACCUGCCGAUGACUCGGGGAUAGCCUUUCGAAAGAAAGAUUAAUACCCGAUGGCAUAGUUCUUCCGCAUGGUAGAACUAUUAAAGAAUUUCGGUCAUCGAUGGGGAUGCGUUCCAUUAGGUUGUUGGCGGGGUAACGGCCCACCAAGCCUUCGAUGGAUAGGGGUUCUGAGAGGAAGGUCCCCCACAUUGGAACUGAGACACGGUCCAAACUCCUACGGGAGGCAGCAGUGAGGAAUAUUGGUCAAUGGACGAGAGUCUGAACCAGCCAAGUAGCGUGAAGGAUGACUGCCCUAUGGGUUGUAAACUUCUUUUAUACGGGAAUAAAGUGAGGCACGUGUGCCUUUUUGUAUGUACCGUAUGAAUAAGGAUCGGCUAACUCCGUGCCAGCAGCCGCGGUAAUACGGAGGAUCCGAGCGUUAUCCGGAUUUAUUGGGUUUAAAGGGAGCGUAGGCGGACGCUUAAGUCAGUUGUGAAAGUUUGCGGCUCAACCGUAAAAUUGCAGUUGAUACUGGGUGUCUUGAGUACAGUAGAGGCAGGCGGAAUUCGUGGUGUAGCGGUGAAAUGCUUAGAUAUCACGAAGAACUCCGAUUGCGAAGGCAGCUUGCUGGACUGUAACUGACGCUGAUGCUCGAAAGUGUGGGUAUCAAACAGGAUUAGAUACCCUGGUAGUCCACACAGUAAACGAUGAAUACUCGCUGUUUGCGAUAUACAGUAAGCGGCCAAGCGAAAGCGUUAAGUAUUCCACCUGGGGAGUACGCCGGCAACGGUGAAACUCAAAGGAAUUGACGGGGGCCCGCACAAGCGGAGGAACAUGUGGUUUAAUUCGAUGAUACGCGAGGAACCUUACCCGGGCUUGAAUUGCAACUGAAUGAUGUGGAGACAUGUCAGCCGCAAGGCAGUUGUGAAGGUGCUGCAUGGUUGUCGUCAGCUCGUGCCGUGAGGUGUCGGCUUAAGUGCCAUAACGAGCGCAACCCUUAUCGAUAGUUACCAUCAGGUUAUGCUGGGGACUCUGUCGAGACUGCCGUCGUAAGAUGUGAGGAAGGUGGGGAUGACGUCAAAUCAGCACGGCCCUUACGUCCGGGGCUACACACGUGUUACAAUGGGGGGUACAGAGGGCCGCUACCACGCGAGUGGAUGCCAAUCCCAAAAACCUCUCUCAGUUCGGACUGGAGUCUGCAACCCGACUCCACGAAGCUGGAUUCGCUAGUAAUCGCGCAUCAGCCACGGCGCGGUGAAUACGUUCCCGGGCCUUGUACACACCGCCCGUCAAGCCAUGGGAGCCGGGGGUACCUGAAGUGCGUAACCGCGAGGAGCGCCCUAGGGUAAAACUGGUGACUGGGGCUAAG